UACGUAGGGGGCAAGCGUUGUCCGGAAUUAUUGGGCGUAAAGAGCGUGUAGGCGGUCCGGUAAGUCCGCUGUGAAAGUCCAGGGCUCAACCCUGGGAUGCCGGUGGAUACUGUCGGGCUCGAGUCCGGAAGAGGAGUGUGGAAUUCCUGGUGUAGCGGUGAAAUGCGCAGAUAUCAGGAGGAACACCAAUGGCGAAGGCAGCACUCUGGGACGUGACUGACGCUGAGACGCGAAAGCGUGGGGAGCGAACAGG
rnacentral:rRNA from 1 species